GCUCAAUAUCCUAGCUGUUCAUAGAAGGGUUAAUUUGACCCAAGAAUAAAUUUGGAAUUGUAUCUCCAAUUCUCGGAAAUAAAACUUAUCUAUUUAUUGGAACAUGAUUUUGUUAUGUUCCUGGAAAAGGAUAUUUACAUGACAUGACAUGACAUGACAUGACAAGGAUUCUGGAAUGACCUUGUUAAUUGUCCAAGAUUUCGGUAUUUGUAAUCAUCUGGGUUUUAUCCAAUAUGCAUACAUUAUGUAACAUUGAAUUAUAACUAAAAACAGCUGUUUAUAACUUGUGAAAAACAAUGUCAUUGUCACGCCCAUAUGCUCAUUUUUCCCCCUCCCAUCCUGCUAUGAAAAUGGGGUAUAAAUAUAACUGACGUAUGAAUACAAUUUGAAUUGGUUAUUGAACAUGUCUCUGCUAUUCAUUUCCAAUUUCCAGACCUCUGUAUGAGUUGACAAAAAUCCAUCAUCCACAAAGGGCCCGGGCUGAUUUUAUCCCCAACAAACUGGUGUCAGAAGUUUGGGUGCAAUUAGGAACGGAGUUGCAGGUAAGAGGGUCUUUAGCCCCUUGGGGACACAACUUCUGGAAUAGAAGGGAAUCAUGACGGAGUAUUUCUGUCGUGUGUCCUUAAGGGGUUGGAGACCUUUGCCUGCUUCUGCCAUCCUCCCACACAUUGCAUUUCUUGUUUUAAUGGGGUUUUUCACUAUUUACAUUUUUAAAGGGGAUUUUCACGGGAUAAUGUCUUUGGUAGACAUGGUAUUUUAAGUCUUAGGUAGACUUCUAUUACUCCACGGGUUGGAGUAACGCCUUUGGUAGGCAGUAGUAGUUAUGUGCACAUUUCCUCUUUGGUAAGAGGUUCACCUUUGGCCAGGUGUUAAAACGAAUUUCAAGCCUUUGGUAGGCUGUGAUGUCCUGUGAUGUACAUUUACAUAUGGGAGACGUCCCUAGAUCCCUCUUUGGUAGAGGUUGUCUUUGGUAGGUUGUAAAACAGAUUUCCAGUCUUUGGUGGACUGUGGUAUUUAUUUAACGUAGAUGUAAAUGUUACAGACUAAAAUGGUUUAAAAAAAAAAAAAAAAAAAGGGGGUUAAAAGGUAUGAUGGAUGUUUGGCAUUAC